CGUAAACAACCUGCCUUCAGGAUGGGGACAACAGACGGAAACGACUGCUAAUACCGAAUGAGUUCCAAGAGCCGCAUGGCCCAUGGAAGAAAAGGUGGCCUCUACCUGUAAGCUAUCGCCUGAAGAGGGGUUUGCGUCUGAUUAGCUGGUUGGAGGGGGUAACGGGCCCACCAAGGCGAUGAUCAGUAGCCGGUCUGAGAGGAUGAACGGCCACAUUGGGACUGAGACACGGCCCAGACUCCUACGGGAGACAGCAUG
rnacentral:rRNA from 1 species